AUGGCUGUCGUCAGCUCGUGUUGUGAAAUGUUGGGUUAAGUCCCGUAACGAGCGCAACCCCUGUCCCUAUUUGCCAGCGAUUCGGUCGGGAACUCUAGGGAGACUGCCGGUGACAAACCGGAGGAAGGUGGGGAUGACGUCAAGUCAUCAUGGCCCUUACGGGUAGGGCUACACACGUGCUACAAUGGCAGGUACAAAGGGUUGCGAGACGGCGACGUGGAGCCAAUCCCAUAAAGCCUGCCUCAGUCCGGAUCGGAGUCUGCAACUCGACUCCGUGAAGUCGGAAUCGCUAGUAAUCGUGAAUCAGAAUGUCACGGUGAAUACGUUCCCGGGCCUUGUACACACCGCCCGU
rnacentral:rRNA from 1 species